rnacentral:rRNA from 1 species
AAAUUGAAGAGUUUGAUCAUGGCUCAGAUUGAACGCUGGCGGCAGGCCUAACACAUGCAAGUCGAACGGUAACAGGAAGCAGCUUGCUGCUUUGCUGACGAGUGGCGGACGGGUGAGUAAUGUCUGGGAAACUGCCUGAUGGAGGGGGAUAACUACUGGAAACGGUGGCUAAUACCGCAUAACGUCGCAAGACCAAAGAGGGGGACCUUCGGGCCUCUUGCCAUCAGAUGUGCCCAGAUGGGAUUAGCUAGUUGGUGAGGUAACGGCUCACCAAGGCGACGAUCCCUAGCUGGUCUGAGAGGAUGACCAGCCACACUGGAACUGAGACACGGUCCAGACUCCUACGGGAGGCAGCAGUGGGGAAUAUUGCACAAUGGGCGCAAGCCUGAUGCAGCCAUGCCGCGUGUAUGAAGAAGGCCUUCGGGUU